UGAUGAUGAUGAUGAUGAUGAUGAUGAUGAUCAUGAUCAUGAUCAUGAUCAUGAUCAUGAUCAUGAUCAUGAUCAUCAUCAUGAUCAUGAUGAUGA
rnacentral:pre_miRNA from 1 species